AUUGAACGCUGGCGGCAGGCCUAACACAUGCAAGUCGAGCGGAUGAAGGGAGCUUGUUUAUGGAUUCAGCGGGGGGCGGGCGAGUGAUUACUAGGAGUCUGCCUGGCCGUGGGGGAUAACGUCCGGAAACGGGAGCUAAUACCGCACACGUCCAGAGCGAGAAAGAGGGGGAUCAUCGGAGAUCACGCUAUCAGCUGCGCCUAGGUAGGAUUAGCCAGUUGGUUAGGUAGAUGCCUACCAAGGCGACGACCCGUAACUGGUCUGAGAGGAUGAUCAGUCACACUGGAACUGAGACACGGUCCAGACUCCUACGGGAGGCAGCAGUGGGGAAUAUUGGACAAUGGGCGAAAGCCUGAUCCAGCCAUGCCGCGUGUGUGAAGAAGGUCUUCGGAUUGUAAAGCACUUUAAGUUGGGAGGAAGGGCAGUAAGUUAAUACCUUGCUGUUUUGACGUUACCAACAGAAUAAGCACCGGCUAACUUCGUG
rnacentral:rRNA from 1 species